rnacentral:sRNA from 2 species
GAGACCCGCACGGACACAUUGCGACCAAGCGUCUUAAAAUACCUUAUCCCGCAAUGUAGCGGUUUAUGAGACUACAGCUUCUCUAACUAAUAUUCGCCCCAAAGUAUAAAGUGAAGUGAAACCUGCUUCAUGUGCAUUUCACGGUAACCAUCUCGCCUUCUGAGUUUUGUUGUCGUGGAAGUCCAAAAACUCCUACCCCUCAAUUAUUGUGGAUAUGGGGCUAAAUGCUUUUGAAGCAUCCAACAGAGUUCGCAUGCCCUGAUUCGGCGCAGAUCUAGAUUCUCGUUUUUGUCCGUGCAUUGUUCGGCGACCACAUCUUGCGCUGUGGAUCAACAGACUUGGAGCUAGGAUAGAUGGAGGUGCUUGGAUCAGUCAAAAUAGCAGCACAGAAAAGUUUACUCCCUUGGCAUCGCCUCUCUAACCACUUCGGAUGGUAUUAUCUUCUCGCUUAUCGAUCAGAUGAACGGAUAAAACAUAAAAUUUAGGCGAAGAGCGAGAGAAAGGUGCAGAACUAUUAGUUUUUUCGUUCAUAAUUGACUGCCCCACCUUUGCUCAGCAUUCUAUGCCUAUCAUCACCUCUUAUCGGCGACCUUAUCUCCCCACACUCCGCCCCGUCAAUCGCAUUAUAUCGGCUAUCUCAGCGAGUGGAUUAAGAAUUGUUUCUGACAAGUGCAAAUUUGCCCACUUCCCCUGCUCCAACCUAUAAAAUAUGAAUACAAAGUCUCCACACGCACACACACACUCUCUCUCUCUCUCAAGCCUCAGUCGCUCAAGGCCGCAACGCUACGGCGGGCGUAUGCGCGAAGGUUCCGCGAUCGAUUCUCAUACGCUACAAGUGGGCUAAGUUGAGUUCCGCCAUGCCGCGAUCGACCCUGAUCGGGUACCAAUGGAAAUAGUUCAAAAGCGAAUGUUUGAUUCUUUAUCCUCGCGAGGAGAGACAUAUGCAUACCACCUACUAGUGGUUAUUAAAAAAUCCGGUCCAAAUCCAAUAAUAGCAACGGCAAGAGUUUAAUGAGAACAGUUAGAGGGAGCACAGGAAAAAUAUUCCUUUUUG